UACGUAGGGCCCGAGCGUUAUCCGGUAUUAUUGGGCGUAAAGAGCGCGUAGGCGGUUUAGUAAGACAGCGGUGAAAGACCCGGGCCCAACCCGGGGAACGCCACUGUGACUGCUAGACUCGACGAUAGCAGGGGCAAGCAGAAUUCUCGGUGUAGGAGUGAAAUCCGUUGAGAUCGAGAGGAAUACCAAUGGCGAAGGCAGCUUGCUAGGCUAUAUGUGACGCUGAGGCGCGAAAGCGUGGGGAGCGAACGGG
rnacentral:misc_RNA from 1 species